rnacentral:rRNA from 1 species
AGGGUUUGAUCCUUCCGCUCAGAACGAACGCUGGCGGCGUGCCUAACACAUGCAAGUCGAACGAGAAAGUCUUUCCGGGACGAGUAGAGUGGCGCACGGGUGAGUAACACGUGGGCAACCUGCCCUAAAGACGGGGAUAACCUCUCGAAAGGGGGGCUAAUACCGGAUAAGACCACAGGUACUACGGUACUCGGGGUCAAAGGAUGCUUUCGGGUGUCGCUUUAGGAUGGGCCCGCGGCGCAUUAGCUUGAUGGUAGGGUAAUGGCCUACCAUGGCGUCGAUGCGUAGCUGGUCUGAGAGGACGAUCAGCCACACUGGAACUGAGACACGGUCCAGACUCCUACGGGAGGCAGCAGUGGGGAAUAUUGGACAAUGGGGGAAACCCUGAUCCAGCAACGCCGCGUGAGUGAUGAAGGCCUUCGGGUCGUAAAACUCUGUUGAGGGGGACGAAAAGCCAUUUAACACAUGGGUCAUGACUUUAACCCCUUUGAGGAAGCACCGGCUAACUCUGUGCCAAGCAGCCGCGGGUAAUACAAGAGGGGUGCAAGUGUUGUUCGGAAUUAAUUGGGGCGUUAAAGAGCGCGUAGGCGGUUCUGAUAAAGCCCAGAAUGUGGAAAGCCCCAAGGCUUCAACUUUGGGGAACUGUAUUUGGAUACUGGUCAGGGCUAGAAGAUCGGUAAGAGGGG